rnacentral:ncRNA from 2 species
GAUAUCAGACACGGGUGCUCUUUCAAAGAGCUGAGAAGAUUACUGUCUAACCGUUUAACGUGAUUCGGUUAAUGCCGACGUACGGAGUUUUCUGCAGGGUCGC